UCAACCUAUCGAUAAAUCGAUAUGAGCCUCGAGAUCAUAAUAGAUAUGACUACAGAAACAUAUGAAAAACCUAAUAAAGAACGGGCAGAUAAAAAGACAAGAUACACGUGGAAGCGAAGUGGAAGCAUUGUACAAAAAGGACCCGUCCCAAACACAACAGAAGAUUGCAGAGCGGCUUGGAAUUGCUCAGACAACAGUAUCGUAUCAUUUGAAAGGAAUAAAAGAGAACCGGAGAGAACGGGAGUAAGAAAGACAAGUUGAUAAACAGGUGAAUAUGGAUUAACGAUAUCGGACUCGGAUACAGACGAUAAUACUCUCGUUGCGGCACGCACGUGACAAAGUGCUCACAUCAUAAGUAUACAGUGAGCGACUGCUUCCUUUUUACUCGGAGAUUUGCGGCACUUGUCAGCAACGCUUGAAUAACGUAACAAACUGUUAGCGUAAUAUAACGUUUGUAACAUUCGGAAAAGUUAAGAGAAUGUACAUGUCUCUGCUAUUUAUUAUUAGAAAAGUUUAAUUAAUGACAUAUAUUUUCUGACAACCUUAACUAUCGGUUUCUCAGGAUAUAGUUCUUCGCAAAUGAACGUUUAAUCAUUAAUAUGCUUUUAACAAUAAAAGUAUUAGAAACGAUAACUUUAAUCACUCGUUUAAGAUGUAUUGUAACAAUGGAAUAGUAUUAAACCUAAUCUAACUAUGCAA